rnacentral:rRNA from 1 species
AGUGAACGCUGGCGGUAGGCCUAACACAUGCAAGUCGAACGGCAGCACAGUAAGAGCUUGCUCUUACGGGUGGCGAGUGGCGGACGGGUGAGGAAUACAUCGGAAUCUACUUUUUCGUGGGGGAUAACGUAGGGAAACUUACGCUAAUACCGCAUACGACCUACGGGUGAAAGCAGGGGAUCUUCGGACCUUGCGCUAUUGAAUGAGCCGAUGUCGGAUUAGCUAGUUGGCGGGGUAAAGGCCCACCAAGGCGACGAUCCGUAGCUGGUCUGAGAGGAUGAUCAGCCACACUGGAACUGAGACAGGGUCCAGACUCCUACGGGAGGCAGCAGUGGGGAAUAUUGGACAAUGGGCGAAAGCCUGAUCCAGCCAUACCGCGUGGGUGAAGAAGGCCUUCGGGUUGUAAAGCCCUUUUGUUGGGAAAGAAAAGCAGCAGGUUAAUCCCCCGCUGUUCUGACGGUACCCAAAGAAUAAGCACCGGCUAACUUCGUG